rnacentral:lncRNA from 10 species
GUCACAGGGAAGGUCACAACAGAGCCCGCCCUAAGGAAAGAGGGCCCAGGAUGCAGCCUGGUCCUGUGCUGUCCCCACUGCCCUGCGCUGCAGCAUCAGGGAGGAGUUCCCCAACCCCCAUCCGCCAGCACUUGGCCACCCAAGUGCGCACUUCAUAACCUGCCGUCCUUUUGUUCCUCCCAUCAGUGCUGAACUGCAGGUGACCAGGUGAACCGUGGUGCUAGUCCCAUUUUACAGAUGAGGAAGCAGGGGGUUACAUGAUCUGACCAAGGUCACAACGCUGCUAACUCUGGUACAG